GGUAGACGCUACGGACUAAAAUCCGUUGGCUUUAAUAGACCUUGAGGGUUCAAGUCCCUCUACCCCCA
rnacentral:tRNA from 2 species